AUGCUUUACAGCUUAGAACCGGGGCUCCAAAAGCGUUUUGAGCAUCACGGAGCAUAUGAGAUGUUCGAAGAGCUGAAACUAGUUUUCCAAGCUCAUGCCCGGGUCGAGAGAUAUGAUGUCUCCGACAAGUUCUACAGUUGUAAGAUGGAGGAAAACAGUUCUGUCAGUGAGCACAUCCUGAAGAUGUCUGGGUUGCACAACCGUAUGACCCAGCUGAACAUUAACCUCCCAGAUGAGGCGGUCAUUGACAGAAUCCUCCAGUCGCUCCCACCAAGCUACAAGAGCUUUGUGAUGAACUACAACAUGCAGGGGAUGGUGAAGACCAUUCCUGAAGUGUUCUCGAUGCUGAAGUCAGCAGAGGCUGAAAUCAAGAAAGAACAUCAAGUGUUGAUGGUCAAUAAGACCACUAAGUUCAAGAAGGGCAAGGGUAAGAAAAACUUCAAGAAGGACGGCAAAGAUGUUGUCGCGCCAGGUAAGCCUGUUGCCGGGAAGAAGUCAAAGAAUGGACCCAAGCCUGAGACUGAGUGCUUUUAUUGCAAGGGGAAGGGUCACUGGAAGCGGAACUGCCCCAAAUACUUAGCGGAUAAGAAGGCCGGCGACACCAAAGGAGCUGCGGAAUAA
rnacentral:rRNA from 1 species